AUUGAACGCUGGCGGCAUGCUUUACACAUGCAAGUCGAACGGUAACAGGGAGCUUGCUCCGCUGACGAGUGGCGAACGGGUGAGUAAUGCGUCGGAACGUGCCGAGUAGUGGGGGAUAACGCAUCGAAAGGUGUGCUAAUACCGCAUACGUACUGAGGUAGAAAGUGGGGGACCUUCGGGCCUCACGCUAUUCGAGCGGCCGACGUCUGAUUAGCUAGUUGGUGAGGUAAAGGCUCACCAAGGCGACGAUCAGUAGCGGGGCUGAGAGGAUGAUCCGCCACACUGUGACUGAGACACGGCCCAGACUCCCACGGGAGGCAGCAGUGGGGAAUUUUGGACAAUGGGCGCAAGCCUGAUCCAGCCAUGCCGCGUGUCUGAAGAAGGCCUUCGGGUUGUAAAGGACUUUUGUCCGGGAGCAAAUGCUGGUGGCUAACAUCCACCGGAGCUGAGAGUACCGGAAGAAUAAGCACCGGCUAACUACGUGCCAGCCGCCGCCGUAACAC
rnacentral:rRNA from 1 species